AGCCGAAACGCGCCUUUACGGGCGCGUCUGCCGGGAAUGGCCGUCCGGCACUGACGAGGCAGGCCGAA
rnacentral:hammerhead_ribozyme from 1 species